rnacentral:SRP_RNA from 1 species
UACCCGCGCUGGUCAGUCCUCGAGCUCCUGUCCUUCCUCUCCAACUUCACCGUCUCGCGCGUCGAGGCGUACAUCCUCGACGGCGAGCGAGCCACCUGGCCUCACCUCGAGCUCAUCCGCUCUCUCACCGACAUCGAGUACACUCUCGACGCGGUGGCGG